UCUGCGCCACAAAACUCAUCUCUUUUUCAUCUCCUCUCCAUAGAACUGAAGCCCUGAUGAUUUUCAUCUCUUUCAUCUCUUUCAAUCUGAAUCCACUAAAAUCAACAAUCAGGGUACUUAAAACCCUAAGAAGACGAUCCCACUUCGUGCUUCUCUUUCGCCUCCACCUUCUCACUUUCUUGUUCUUAUCUUUCUCGUCCCCCUUGUCACUUUUUUCUGAUUUUCUUUCGAGAAUCAUAAAUCAUCAACAUCAUCAUUUACUCUUUGGAGAACCCACCACCAUCAGCAGCACUAUCAACAACAUCAUCUUCUCAUGAUUUCUUUCUCUCUCUCAACCGAAGACUCUGACUCUUCCAACAGAGGAGGUAUGCGGUAUGUUUAGGCAUCUUAAAAUUAGUAGCAUUUGUAGGUGGUGUGAUUGAACAAUGUAGACCCUAAUGGUAAGAGGGAGGCGGUUCCCAUGUCGAGGUAUAAAAGCCAACGAAGAGGUACUAUUUCCUCCCCUCUUAUCUAUAUCAUGAUUUAGCCUCCAAAGUAUGAGCUGAUAAUGAUUCUCCCUAGAAGGUAUAACUUGUUUCGUGAACGUUGAUUAUAUGAGUUAUGUAAUUCUGGAUUUGUUGUGUUUAUUAAUAUGGUAUAAAUGGGUACUGGAGAUGGAAGAUUCCACUGUGGAGGUUACUGAUGAAAACCUGGAAGCCCAACGACGAUUUCAAUGUGAUGUUUGUUUUGUUCAAUUCGAUCUCUCUACUGGCUCUGUGAUUAGGCAUCUAUGUUUUUUGCAAGUUAUAGAAACACAAUAGAAUAGUGAAUGAUGUGGUUCGCUGCCUGGAUUUUAUUUUUGUCUAGUUCAUUUUAAAAUUGUUCGUUAAUUUUAACUAGGAAAGCUAGAGCAAGAAAUUAAGCAUCUUACAGAGGCAAUUAUGUUGAACCCAACAUCUUCAAUUAUAUAUGCAACUAGAGGUAAUUUGCGUUUUUAA